GCAGGUUGUGUACUUCCUGAGAGUUCUGAACCAGCUGAGCAAUUGCUAUUGAAAUGAAUGGGAACACUAAUGGAUAGCUUUCUAUGGGCAUUAUAGACCCCAUUGGUUUGAACCCAUGAACCGGAACUGAUAUACCAAGAAACCAUCUCAUCACUGUGUCCUUGAGUAGGACACUUAACCCCAGGCUGCUCUAGAGGGACCAUCCAUGUAAUUAGAGCAAACAGUGUCUGCUAAUUGACAAAUUACCAAAAUACUAUUGGAUCGUUUUCCCAAAUCCAAUCCAUUAUGCCAAAAGGGGAGCAGCUGGUGGCACAUUAGCAUCUAGAGCUGAUUGGGUUUCUUGCAUUAAUGUGUAGCUCCCACAUGGAAGACUGCAGCCAUACUUGUAUUUGUGGCAAUAGGCAAGAUCCAUGCUGCUAGUUUGGUGGAACUAGUUGGGAUGUCAGCAGCUUGUGGCUCAUAAUGGUCACUUACUUUACAACUAAAGUGUUUUUCAUAAGACUGUCCAUGCUUCAUUUCAGUUAUUGCCAUUUCCCUUGUGAAUGUUUCUGUUUGUGGUGCAGAGCUAAAUAUGGCACUGUUCCAAAACCUAGUGAGUUGUAAACCUAGUGCCUGUGUACAACCUAAAAAAACGACAACAAAAGCAACUGAUUUGAAGUGCUCUGCAUAGAGAAACUGGGUGCAGCAGCCAAGAUAAUUGGGCUCCGUCAAGAGCUUUAUGAACCACUCAGCUCCCUAAUGCCACUACAUGAACCUAACUGGACAUUAGAGCAGUAUAUUGAGCUGUCAUUUCAAUUAAGCGGAUCAGCAUUCACUGUGGGUGUCAUGGAGGAGGAAUGCAACAUGGUGUCUGUGACUGUAAUGGCAGUGACAUCAGAGCCUCAUCACGUCACAGCUGAUCGUCCAGAGACAAUUCAUGGCGGCAACCACUGCAGAACCUCCAGAGAUGUCACUGGUAUCUAUUUAUCAGCUCUCUGCCUGUCCUGUCACGGUUAUGGAGGCAGUCUGUGAACUCUCUGUCUGCCUAGCCAUGGCCAAGAAUGCCAAUUAUGGACUCUGUGAACACUGAAUACUCUCUGUGUUUCCUAUCCCAGAGACUAACCCUAAGCUGUUUUCUAAAAAGGUCCCGCCGAACCUCCCUCUACCUCGAUUUUUUCUAUCUCCGCUAUUUUCUGUCUGUCCCUCAGGUCAUCCUUUGAGGGUGGUUAGUGGUCAGGAUUCGUCUCAGGACAGUCAACCUCCAGCUGCACCAGAGUUGGAGGAUCCCAGAUCUCCAUCUCCUGCCUUCGAGACCUGGACUCCACAUUGGUCCGUCGACCAAAUGGUGUCACUCUGGCUGAAAGCUCCCUUUUUUCCACAGUGGUCCAUCAGUUCACUGGCUCCACCAGACUGAGUCCACCUUGGUCAAUUGUCAACCCUCCCUCACCUUGAACUACACUCCUCCGGCUUCGCCUCAUCCCUCUGGUUCCAUUGGGCUCCUUUCCCCCUCCGGCUCCUCCUUGGUAUUCGAUCAAUCCGGCUCCACCGCGGCCUCCCAGGACCCCUCCUAAGCCUCGGUCGCCAGAGCCAUCGGCUCCACCAUGGUCCUCUGAUCCCUCAGUGUCACCCUGGCUCUUCGGCUCUCUAUCUUCGCCUUGGGCUCCCCUUUCCACCGGCUCCAUCUUCAUCAGUCAGACCCCUGAUGCCUCCAGUUUCACACCCUUCAUGGUUCCUUCCUUCACAGUGGGCUAAAAGUUGGUCUAUUAAUUCUGUUUGGAGCAUCUGGAAGCCGCUCCUAGUGGGGGGGGUGGGGGGUUGGGAGUGUUUCCUUGCCUGGCCUUGCAUUCUUGUUUUUGACCUUGGACUGUUUAUCGGAUUACUCUUGUCUCGCCCUGGAUUGUACCUGUUUGCUGGUGUUUGACCUUGCCUGUUUCAACCACGCUCCUGUUAAAUAAAAGCUGCAUUUGGAUCCUCAA